rnacentral:lncRNA from 1 species
CUAAACCACCACCACCUCACCACAGCUUCCUUUUUACUUGUCAUGUUUUUAGUCAGAGAUAAUCAGCCCAUGACCUGGGGGUCUUGAUAUGUGAUCUACACAAUGCUAACAUACAGAAGAGGCAGCCACGUUUGGAGGCCCUAUGAUGUCCUGGGUGCCUGUUCUGAGCAGCGUGUUCACGUGUGCUGUCUCAUCGUUCUUCUCAACUGCAGGGAGGCUUGGAGGUGAAGAGAUAUGCAGCCGUGUCACAUGGUGUCAUAAGUGGUGGAAUGAGAUGACCCCAAAGCCCUGCUCUGAUUACCAGAUUCCCUUUGCCCCAGCACCAAAGCAGAGGAGACCCAGAAGGAUAAGCCAGAGCAUUGGAGAGCUGGGUUCCCACCCCAACAGUAAGGCAUGGCCUUUGUUGUUAUAACUGAACAGAGUCCAAAGAAGGAAAAAAGGCAGGCCCUGACCACAAGGAGUUCAAAGCUUAGGUUUGUUUUUUUUUCUUCAGUUUUUUUUUUUUUUAACUGUGGUAAAAUGUGCAUAACAUACAAUUUAUUGUUUUAACCACUUGUAAGUAUACAGUUCAGUGACGUAUAGCCCCAUUGCACAACCAUAACCACCAUCUGUCUUCAGAAUUCAUCUUCCCAGAUUGAAGCUCUGUGCCCAC